rnacentral:rRNA from 1 species
AUUGAACGCUGGCGGCAUGCUUUACACAUGCAAGUCGAACGGUAACAGGCCUUCGGGCGCUGACGAGUGGCGAACGGGUGAGUAAUGCAUCGGAACGCGCCCAGUCGUGGGGGAUAACGCAGCGAAAGCUGUGCUAAUACCGCAUACGAUCUGCGGAUGAAAGCGGGGGACCUUCGGGCCUCGCGCGAUUGGAGCGGCCGAUGUCAGAUUAGGUAGUUGGUGGGGUAAAGGCUCACCAAGCCAACGAUCUGUAGCUGGUCUGAGAGGACGACCAGCCACACUGGGACUGAGACACGGCCCAGACUCCUACGGGAGGCAGCAGUGGGGAAUUUUGGACAAUGGGCGCAAGCCUGAUCCAGCAAUGCCGCGUGCAGGAAGAAGGCCUUCGAGUUGUAAACUGCUUUUGUACGGAGCGAAAAGGCUCCCUCUAAUACAGGGGGCUCAUGACGGUACCGUAAGAAUAAGCACCGGCUAACUACGUGCCAGCCGCCGCCGUAAUAC